AUAAACGUACCAGAUUGUCCAAAACGAGCGGCAGAAGCCUUCAAUCCAACCGUCGUCAACACGUCUUCGCGCAUGCGCGCUGCCACUUCUCACAACUGCAAUAGGCAAACAUGGUGGCGGCCGUCGACAGUUUUGUGACAGUCUUGUCGGUGGGAACUGCUCUAAUGGUUCGGGGGAGUUCACGUUGAGCACAUGCCACUUCUCUGGGAUCAGUCCUUUUUCCAAGAGGAUCGAAGCCAGGUAGGAAAAUAAUAAAGUCGCACAGAAGGUGGCCAACGUGCAGAUAGUCACGACAGGCGCCCGCUGGACGUACACGCCGUCCUCCAGAGUGCAGCCUGGCAUGCAGAGAAGAACCGGCAGACCCAAACCCGGCUCACCGCUCAGCACUCUCAACAGCACCCCGACGAGCAGGCCCAUGAUGGAACCGUAGCCGUUGGAGAUCUUAAAGAACAGGACGCAGACCAGUUGAGGGAACAUGAUGGUGUAGGUGAUGCCUGAGCCCAGGAUCCAAAAAAACAUGAUGCUGCUGUGCAGAAAGGUGAGCGACGUGCCGACUACGCCCACUAACACCACGGUCACGUAGAUCACCCACUGCAGCUCCCGUUCACUCGCCUGUAGGAGAAAACGACAUUCCAAAUAAACACAAGGCAAGAGAGAGACGCAGAACGUGCCUAGAUCUUGUCUUCACCUUAGUCCUCAGGAUAUUCUUAUAGAUGUUGGACGUGAAGAUGGAGGCGGCUGACAGCAAAGAAGAGUCUAUCGAUGACAUCACGGCGGCAGCUAUUGCCCCGAUGCCAAUAAUGGAGAUGUAGCUGGGGGUGAGGUGCUGUAGAGCGAUGGGCAGCACCUGACCGGUUUCACCUCGCUCAUAUGGUGAAGGGGAGCCGUAUGUCGUCAUGUUCCAGUCUGACGCGAAAAAUAAACCCAUCAACCACACAUUUUUACCAAUGACAUCGUUCCAAAGCUUCCUGUCUAACUGCACCUGUUGAUGCUGCGACUGCUCCAAUUAGAAUAGAUGGGAUUCCAAGUAUGAAGAUGAGGGGAGCUGCGAUGAAGCAGGUGAUCCUGGCUGUGUGCGAUGAAGCAGCUGACAGCGUCCUCUGGUGGAAGUCUUGAUAUCCCAGGUCCCCUAAAGUC